rnacentral:rRNA from 1 species
UACGUAGGGCGCAAGCGUUGUCCGGAAUUAUUGGGCGUAAAGAGCUCGUAGGCGGCCUGUUGCGUCCGCUGUGAAAUCCCGGGGCUCAACCCCGGGCCUGCAGUGGAUACGGGCUGGCUAGAGGCAGGCAGGGGAGAACGGAGUUCCUGGUGUAGUGGUGAAAUGCGUAGAUAUCGGGAGGAACACCAGUGGCGAAGGCGACUUCCUGGCCUGUUCUUGACGCUGAGGCGCGAAAGCUAGGGGAGCAAACGGG